UUCUUCUCGUUUCCUCUCUGUUCUGGUCACGCCGCCGCCGUUCCCCGUACGCCCACGCCACCGGGGGAUAGGCCACCUACCGAUCGAAAACCAGCGAGGCGAUUCAACCCCGAAGAAACAGUGAGGCAAAGCGACGGUGCCGACAAGGUUUGGAUGGCGGGAAGGCUGCGGAGUGGACUCCUUCCAUCUUCGAUCCGCCGGUAGACCCGGCCCAUCAUCAGAGAAACGCCUCUCCUUCCGUUUGUGUGGGCGGCAUCGUGAUCACAGUGCGCGAACUGAAACCGUCAGCACCCUAAUCACGGUGGUAAUUUCGACCCACUUCUCCAUGUAAUUAUGGUAAUUAAUCUCGGUGUUAUUUUCAGUUCUCUUCUCUCCGUGAUAAAUAUGUGCGACAUCCUAAUUUUCAUCAGAUAUGUUCAUUGCUUCGGGUUGCUUUUCUGUUUGCCCGUCCUCAUUCUUCUCAGUAAUUUCAUCAAACGCCAACAUUAGGUAGCAAAUUGUCUUACUAUUGUUUGUUCAGGGAUUGCCGUCCUCUUUCGUGUUGGAUUUAAUUCAGGAACUGUUGAUAGGGAGUGUCUGAUCUUCAUUUGCGACCAUGGCUGCUGGACAGGGCAUGUACACCGCCGGCGCUAGUGCCAGGCGCUAGGAUGGAUUUCCUAGAAGUUAAGCCAGAAUCCUCUCCGAUCCUGGGAUUUAACCUUGCGUCGACGCCCAGCUUCGCGCCGGGCGCUAGAGAGAUUUUUGGCAGGAGGGUGCAGUAAAAUAGGAAGAGGUUGCUAGCAGUUGGCGCCUGGAGUUUGCGGUCAGCGAUGGAGCGCCGGACGCUUGCACGAGCGCUAUGUGUUGGCCGGAAGAAUGGCAAGCUGAAGAAGCCAGAUGCUAUGGGGUAGAAACGUACACAAUGUUUGCACCUCCUCAGCAGAGUAGCAAGGUGGAAUCACUGUUUUCCACUUUGGUAUACCACUUUUAUCAGUUUAUGAUCUGUAAUGGUGUACAGAAUACAUGUAUUUUAAGUAUGUGUCCCCUAUGUUGUAUAUGGUCUGUCCAUCCUAAACACUUAUAAUUCAGUGAUUGUCGUCAUCCAAGUAGACUAAGCUUUAUUACACUCUCUCAGAAAAAUAGAGGAGAACCUUAAAUCUGCUAAUGUUUUGGAUCGACUGUUGAUCAAGGUAUUUACUGUUCCUACUCUGCAUGACAUGCCAUAAAUGGUGUUUUUGAGUAAUAGUUUAACUGAAUUAGUGACACAUGCAUUUGUUUCCAGAAUUUAUUUGAGAUAUAAUUAUAUUGUUCUAGGAUGCUGAAUCCAAUUGUUUAAAUUAUAACUGCUUCUUUCCAAGGCUAUGUAUUUACUGACAGUAAGUCAUGCUGUCAAUAAUGGUUUGAUACAAGGUAUGCAUCUUCGUUUAUAAGGAACAGGGUAAAGCUUCACCACAGGUGUUCCAGAAUCAAGAGAGUAGGAUUGCUAAUUAUGGUGCUUGAAGGGAACUGCUUGGAAAUAUAUAAUAAAAAUCCAGGGACCUUCUUUAUGACAAUUGUGAAGUGCAAACAAAACAAGGAAAAGGUAUAUUUCCUUUCUUUCUGAUUUAUCCCUGCUUUAUAGUCGAAAUAUGAAACAUAAUAUCUUGUGUCAGUUAUAUUAGUAGAAAAAGGUAUAUUGUUGAUGGGGCAAGAGGUUUCUGGUUUAGUUGAACCACAAAUAUAUACAAUAAAUGGUGUAUGGAAGAAGCUGAAAGCGGAGAUGCUUUUUCCCUUGUGUUAUCUUUUUGGUCAGUAAUACAUCUGUUUGAGAGAACAGAUGAUUCUGUUAAGGAGAAAUAAAAAGACUUGAUUUCCAUUCAAAGUUUCUUGCCUUACAUGCUCCACUGUUUUGUUAGGUUUCCCAAAUAAGGGUUGAUAUAACUACAGGAAAUGUGGGCAAGUAGUUGGACUAAUCCAUAAUUGUGCACUUUGUUUAUUUUUACAUUGAAAGACUAAGAAUUUGUAGGUAGCUUUGGCUGAUGGAACAGAGUUACACUCAUUAGCUAUGUUCUCAGAUGCUACUCGAUCGUGAGGACGAGAGCACACAUGGUGAGGGUUACUCUAAAUAUCAACUGUUGAAGUUUUAUUAGCUCUAUUUUUGCAAGAAUGGUGCAGCAGCAGCAAAAUCCAGCUGCACUGGUGGUGUGAUAGGCAAACUGUUAGAAAUAUGCAAAACUAUGUAUAUGGCUUGCAAAAUUUUGGAUUUUAGAAGAAAAUUAUUAGUUGCGUGAGGUAGGAAAAUUAUAUGCUUAGUUCAGUGCUCACUAUCUACUCCUUCUAAGAACUAAAAAGUGUACCCACUACCACAAGUCAGAGACUCAAUGCCAUCACAGUCAAGAUGCUUAGUUCUUAUUCGUAUUGAAAUAUCUCGCUGUGGACUCAUUGCUUGGACAACCAAGAUCCUUGACGGUUUUGUAAUCUAAUGCCAAAUAUAUGCAGCCUGAACUAAUGGCCCUCUCAUGAAGCGCAUGUUCAUAUAUAAUAGUUAACACUUAUGGUUAACCUGAAAUAUCCUUCAGUUUUGCUCAUCUAUGUUUUUCAGACAGUAAAGUAUGCAUGUAGAAAAUGAUGUUAGAAGUGAUUUCCUGAGCUGAGGAAUAAAGCAAACGCUACAGUGCCAGUGCUUCAACGUAUGCCAUUUUUCUUGUGAUGUUACUAAAUGUGUUUUGAAAUAAUGAAGGUUAUGUUUUAAUGAUGAUGCUUUCAGUCGAUAUGAGACUACCUAUUGAAGAAGCUCGGUGCCUCACGUAGUUUUGUACUUCUCGGCACAGGAUUGUAUCUCUUGAA